rnacentral:tRNA from 1 species
GGUUGUGGCUCAGUGGUAGAGCACUCGCCUAGCAUGUGUGAGGCCCUGGGUUCAAUCCUCAGCACCA